UACGUAGGGCGCAAGCGUUGUCCGGAAUUAUUGGGCGUAAAGAGCUCGUAGGCGGUCUGUCGCGUCUGCCGUGAAAACCCGAGGCUUAACCUCGGGCUGGCGGUGGAUACGGGCAGACUAGAGGUAGGUAGGGGAGAAUGGAAUUCCCGGUGUAGCGGUGAAAUGCGCAGAUAUCGGGAGGAACACCGGUGGCGAAGGCGGUUCUCUGGGCCUUACCUGACGCUGAGGCGCGAAAGCGUGGGGAGCGAACCGG
rnacentral:rRNA from 1 species